rnacentral:rRNA from 1 species
CCUACGGGUGGCAGCAGUGAGGAAUAUUGGUCAAUGGGCUUACGCCUGAACCAGCCAAGUAGCGUGAAGGAUGACUGCCCUACGGGUUGUAAACUUCUUUUAUAAAGGAAUAAAGUGAGGCACGUGUGCCUUUUUGUAGGUACUUUAUGAAUAAGGAUCGGCUAACUCCGUGCCAGCAGCCGCGGUAAUACGGAGGAUCCGAGCGUUAUCCGGAUUUAUUGGGUUUAAAGGGAGCGUAGAUGGGUUGUUAAGUCAGUUGUGAAAGUUUGCGGCGCAACCGUAAAAUUGCAAUUGAUACUGGCAGGCUUGAGUACAGUUGAGGUAGGCGGAAUUCGUGGUGUAGCGGUGAAAUGCUUAGAUAUCACGAAGAACCCCGAUUGCGAAGGCAGCUUACUAAACUGUGACUGACAUUGAUGCUCGAAAGUGUGGGUAUCAAACAGGAUUAGAUACCCCAGUAGUC